rnacentral:rRNA from 1 species
UGGGGAAUUUUGCGCAAUGGGCGAAAGCCUGACGCAGCAACGCCGCGUGGAGGAUGAAGGUCUUUGGAUUGUAAACUCCUGUCAGCAGGGAAAAAGCGAAUGGGUCUAAUACACCCGUGAGUUGAUUGUACCUGCAGAGGAAGCCCCGGCUAACUCUGUGCCAGCAGCCGCGGUAAUACAGAGGGGGCAAGCGUUAUUCGGAAUUAUUGGGCGUAAAGGGCGCGUAGGCGGCUUGGCAAGUGGAAGGUGAAAUCCCUCGGCUUAACCGAGGAACUGCCCUCCAAACUGCUUUGCUUGAGGCCGGGAGAGGUGAGUGGAAUUCCCAGUGUAGCGGUGAAAUGCGUAGAUAUUGGGAGGAACACCAGUGGCGAAGGCGGCUCACUGGACCGGUUCUGACGCUGAUGCGCGAAAGCGUGGGGAGCAAACGG